CGGACGGGUGAGUAAUGUCUGGGAAACUGCCUGAUGGAGGGGGAUAACUGCUGGAAACGGUAGCUAAUACCGCAUAACGUCGCAAGACCAAAGAGGGGGACCUUCGGGCCCCUUGCCAUCGGAUGUGCCCAGAUGGGAUUAGCUAGUAGGUGGGGUAACGGCUCACCUAGGCGACGAUCCCUAGCUGGUCUGAGAGGAUGACCAGCCACACUGGAACUGAGACACGGUCCAG
rnacentral:rRNA from 1 species